UGGGGCCUGUCCUUUUCAAUAUCUUUAUAGAUGACCUGGAUGAGGGCAUUGAGUGCACCCUUAGUAGGUUUGCAGAUGACAUCAAGUUGGUCAGAAGUGUCGAUCUUCCUAGGGGUAGCAAGGCCCUACAGAAGGAUUUGGACAGGCUGGAUCACUGGGCUGAAGCCUAUGGGAUGAGGUUCAGCACGAUCAAGUGCUGGGUCCUGCACUUUGGCCACAACAACCAGUGUAGUAUUGCUAGCAAGAGCAGGGAAGUAAUUGUACCUUUGUACUCAACACUGGUGAGGCCACACCUUGAGUACUGUGUUCAGUUUUUGACCCCUCACUGCAAGAAAGGCAUCGAGGCCCUGGAGUGUGUGCAGAGAAGGGCAACUAAGCCGGUGAGGGGUCUGGAGCACAGCCCUUACGAGGAGAAGCUGAAUGAGCUGGGAUUUUUCAUCCUGGAGGAGAGGAGGCCCAGGAGAGAUCUUAUUGCUCUCUAUAACUACCUGAAGGGAGGUUGUGCAACAAGGCCAUCACAGCAUCUAUGAAAGAGUGGAUCACCUCAAACAGUGCAGAUUUUUCAGAAGCAUGGCAUGCAGUCUGGUGCUCAUAACUGGUGAAAAUACAUAGCUAAUGAUGGGCAGAAAAUACAAUAUGCUGAGUUGCUGCUGUUGGAGAAGUGGAAAAAAAUCACCUAUGUGGAAAAAGCUAUCUAGCAUGGGUACAGUUUGGAAGUGCCAUAAGAGGAACGUGUGUUGGCAAAAAAUGAUUCUGCCUGCUAUGGACCAUAUGUGCAUUUAAUUGAGUUUGCAAGUUUCCAGGCAGAAUGCCAAAUGGACAGUCUACCAUCUGAUAAGAGUGGUAAAGUUUUCCCCUUUUGUUCUCUCACAAGCUUUAGGUUCAUACAGAAUCUGAGAAGUCAAAAAAUCUGUACUUUCCCGGGACUGAUACUGGAAUGUGUAAGUCAGCUAAUAAAUAUGUUAGAAAAGACCAGUAUAUCAGAUUUACUUAGAAGCUAUGACUUUAAUUGUAAUACUGAAAAUUAAAUAAAAAAUAUAAAUGUGCCACUCCAGCAGAAUUAUCUGAGUCACAAUUAUCUCUUUGGCUUCCUCUUUUUCUCUAUGAACAGGGAGAUAAAUGAAGUGACUUUCAUGUAUAAGCUACAGGAGCUAGAGUAGGCUCAAAUAAAAAUAAUUAGGUGGGAGAUUUCGCAAAACCAAAGCAGGGUUUGAGGCUGUGUUUGAUCAGGUGCUGCCAGCUAGUUUCCAAAUCCUAAUGUGGCCUGCAACCCCAUGUUCAAGCCAUUAUUAUAUGUUUGCAUUGCUAAACAAAGAAGGUCAGGAUCCAGUUAAAGAGACAGAUGCCUGUUUGCCUCUGUUGCACAGUUAUUAGCUUGCUUCUCAGUUCUGUUUUGGGGUUUCCAGCUUCUUCCUGGGCUUGGGCUUCCUUGGGUUCAUCUGCUGCAGAGCAAUGGGAGACAACGUGUACGCAGCACAGUCAUGAGCCUGUCAGUGUCAUUUGGUCAUGAGGUAUCUUAAUGUAUAGACAUAAAUUACAUGAUCAAACAAAGUAAGACCCUUGACAGAAUUUAUCAUACACCACCCUACAUGUGAAUUUUCCUUGUGGCAUUUCUCCUUCUGGUCAGAAGAGAUCUGUUGAGCCUCAUGGUGAGAACUUGAUGAAACAGCCUAAUGGUUCUCAGUCUUGUUCUGCAGUAUUAAUGACUAAAGGAAUAAAAUUGCCAUAUAGGUGUGAUUUUCACCAUUUUGUUGUCUUGCUACCUUCUCUCUGCUACAGUGUUUUUCAUGGGAGAAAAACACACAUUCAAGGACCAAGCUUGGUUCAUGAGAGUCCUUAUUAUUCAUAAUAAAGAAAAUAUAAGGACUGAUUUUUUUUUUUUUUUUUUUUUUUUUUGUGCAGUGAUGGUCAGAUUCUCAAGGUUUGGUUGCCAGUUUAAAGAUUAUUUCCAGGAGCACGUUACAUCUACACUAGAGAACAACAGAUGAAAAAGACCAUAGGUUGAAGAUAACCACACAACUGAACCUAUCCACGACUCUGAGUUUAUUUAAGUUACAUGUCCUUGUUAAUCUGUACUGUUUUAGCUUGAUGUUGUCACUCAGCAUAAGCACAACAAAGGAAUUAUGAAGCUGAGAAGGGAAAUUGCUCCUUGACAGAUUUCAUAACUUGCACGGUGUUCUGUGGUCUGAAAACAGUGAGAAGCAGGGUUCAAAGCACCCUUGGCAUCUGCUUUUUAGAAACACAGUCAACUGCAAUAAACACUCUUGCUACUUGUAGCUACAUGCAUGCAUUCAGGAAAAGAAAAGCUCUAAAAUAGAAGAACAUUAGCCCCCUUGGCUUUAGAUUCUUUUUCCUAAAGCACAAGAACUGUAACAUAAAAACAGUAACAGAACUCUCUAGUGAGACUGAGUAAAAUAAACAUCAAUAGAAAAAAGAAAAAUGCAAUGCCAUUCUGAGAUUAAAUAUUAGCACACGUACAUUUCUUUCAACAUACACUUCUCACUGGAUAUUUGUUAGCCUGUGGCAGCUGUAUGUGGAAGCACAAAUACAGCCAUGCCUUCUCACUUCUUUACACUGUCUACAGAAGUGGGAAUACACAACAGUUUUUUGUUUUGUUUUGUUUUGUUUUGUUUUGUUUUGUUUUUCCACAGAAAUUUCCAUUGCUUUUGGUUUCUAUAGCACUGUCAAUUUAUUUCAAAACACAUGAAACUAAAUAGCCAUAGUAAAAUCUCAUUUUCACAUAAGUCAUAUCCAUAUAAAUUUCUGCUAUUUAAGAAGAAAAAUGUACCCGGUUCUCUUGUAAGUGGUAUGACUAGGAUAUCCUGCAUUCCAAGUUAGACUGUGGUCAGUCUUUGACAUACAUAGACUCUCAACAGUUCUUCCUAUCAAUUGAUACAGUAACUGAGAAACAGUAAUGAAUAUUCCAAUAAGUAGCUGAGAAAGAGAAAAGACAAAAAAUAAACACGACACACUUUCUAUCAUAUGAUCCAUAAAAAUGACAGAGAAUGGUUUGCUUAGUCAUCUGGUCUCUGUCAAAAUGCUUAUUACUGCAAAAGAAUUUAAAAAACCACACAACUGUGCCUUCUGCAUCAAAAAGAGGACAAAGCAUUUCAUGUGGUAGGUUUAUUUAAAAAUCAGAGAAAUAGAUUAGUCUGCCACAAAUCCCUUUAAGAAUAACCAUUAGGAAACAGAGGAAAAAAAACAAAAGAAUUUGAACAAAAGUACACCUCUAUUAUUUUGCUUGUGGAUUUCAUUGGGUGUAGGUAUUUCUCAGAGAUUGCCGAUCAAUUAUAGUAGUAGUUAUCAGUGUAUCAUAAAAUCACAGUCAUACAAUCAUUUGUGCUGGAAGGUGUAGGCGUAGUGAAAAUGCUCAGUCAUGGCUUGAAAGAGUGACUGAGCACCUGGAGGAAGGCAGGGCCAACCCAGGGGAGUUCAGAUACAUGCAGGGCCCCUGAGUGACCGGAAUGGGUGGAGCCAGGAUCCACCUCUUCCCAGAUCUCAUUUAAGGGUUGGCAUUGAAGGUAAGGCUUUUGGGGAUUGCUAUAUAUCUGAGGCCUUCUGAAGGUAAGCAGCGUCUUUCCCUUAUUUUUUGUGCUCAUUGUUGUGUUUGAGUGAAUCCUAACUUGCUGUGGCCUGGAAUCUUGGUGCUCUCUGUCACUGUUGUGCUUACCAUUGUGUUACAGAAGGGACCCUUUAAAGGUCAUCUAGUCCAACUCCCCUGCAGUGAACAGGACCAUCUACAGCUAGAUCAGGUUCCUCAGGGUCCCAUCCAGCCUUUCCUUGAAUGCCUCUGGGGUCAGGGCUUUCACCACCUCUUUGGUCAACCUGUUCUAGUGCUUCAGUAUCCUUAUCACAAAAAACUUCCCUGUUAUAUUCUCUCUAGUUUGCAACCAUUUCCCCUUGUCCUAUCACAACAGAUUCUGCUAAAGAGUCUGCCCCCUUCUUUCUUAUAGUCUUCUUCUAGAUGUUGAAAGGCCCCUGUCACAUAUCCCCAGAGCCAUCUCUGUAAUAGACUAAACAGCUCUAACUCUCUCAGCCUGUUCUUGUUCCAUCCCUUGGAUCAUUUUGUGAUCCCGUCUCUUCUUCCACUGCUGGUCCAUUUUCUUCUUGUUCUCCAGAUUGACCAGUUAGUCUCACUCAGCCGUGCAAGACUUUUGCCUUCCUUUCCUGACUUCCUACACCUGGAGAUGGAGGGCUCUUGUGCCCUAAGAAAAGCUUCCUUAAAGAUCUUCCAGCUCUGUUCCUCUCCCUUUGUCCUUGAGGACAGAUUCCCAGAGGAUUUUGUUAAAUAACUUCCUGAAGAGCAUUCCGAGAUUGAGCAUCCUGGUUUUAAUUUUUCUCUCACAAAUCUCUCAGGAGUGUGAACUCCAUGAGUGCAUAGUCACCGCAGCCUGCAGGCAUCUUCCAAUCCUGAUGUCACCAGUCAGUUCACUUGGAUUGGUGAGUAACAGGUCCAGUAUUGUAUCCCCCUGGGGGAGCUGUCUAUCACUAGGCUCUAGAAGUUGUUCUUGAUGCAUUCCAGGAGCCUCCUGUGUUACCUACCACUAGCUAUAUGGCUUUUCCAGCAGAUGUCAGGGUGGUUGAAGUCCCCCAGCAGGAUGAGAGCUAGUGUUACUUCCUGUAGCUGGAGGAAGAAGGCUUUCAUCAACCGGCUCCACUUUAUCAGGUAACCUGUAGUAGAUCCCAACCACAUGGCUCUCUUCGUUGCUUCCGUCUCUAACUCUCACCCAUAAGCUUUUGACUUACUUGUGGCCAUUCUUCAAGAACAGCUCUUUAUGCUAUUUUCUUCUUGAUGUAGAGAGUCACCAUAUAAGACUAUGUGUAAUUUGUUUCAUUAUGAAUUGAAUAAGUUUUAUUUACACACUUCAAAACUGUAACCACAGAUGAGGAAAAAAAACCCACUAUUUUAAAUUCCUUAGUGAAGUUGAACGGACUUUUUUCUGUUCAGCUCAGAAAUGUUAAGUUAAUGGGAUAUUACAUUGCUAUAAGAAAUAUGUAUUGGAUUUCAUUUUAGCAGCACUUAUGUUUAAGGAAAUCAUUGGUUAUGUUGUUCCUUAGUUAAUUUCAAACACAUGCUGUGAAUAGCUAAAUAUCAAGGAUUUGAAGUUUAUUUUAAUAAUAAUUUUUCAUUGGAGUCACUUCAUUGCUAUCAGAAUCUAUUUUCCUGGCUUAAUUUUUUGUUGUUACUGUUUACUUUUUAUUCUAUAACUUGUUCCUUUAUCUUAAUGAAAAAUGAGAGUUUGAGUCACUAUGAACAUUCUUAUUCCUAUAAAUAAUUCAGCCACAGAAAAUAGUCAAAACUAACAGGAUUAUAGAUUAUAGUUUAACAAAAAUCCUGCUGAUGAAAAUGUAAUAAUAAACGUUUACAAUAAUAGUCAGAAAUUAGAAGUAUUUUAAAAACAUAUUAGAUUUUGAAUAUAAUGUUUAGAAGCAACAUUUAAGCACAAGAUUGGUGUGAAAGAGUAGGAUACAAACAAGUACAGGAAGCCUGAGAUUUGUAUCUCUUUGGAAAAAAAAGUAUUCUAAUUUGUUCAAAAUUGCCUCCUUUACAUUCCCUCUCACUUGGCAUCUUUCACUGGGAGACCACUUAUUGUGAAAGUUAGUUUACUCUCAUUUAUCUUGCUUGUAGUAUUGAAGUCCAAGAUGUUACUGAUGGUAUUUUAAAAAUUCCUAAAGUUGUAGUUGUCCUUUCAUCCAUUUUUUUCCCCCAAAAUGGAAAGCUAUUUUCUCAUUUUCUCUUAAUCAUUUUAAAAUAAAAUGUUUUAUUAAAAAAAAAAUUAAUAUAUUAAAAGAAAACUACUCCACCUAUUCUCUAGAAAACAUUUAAAUUUAGUAAUAUUUCUGUCCAAAUCCUUGCCCGAUUCAGCAUACUUUGUUCCAGUGGAGUGGAGAUGGAGAAAUAGAAAGUUUCUAAUGUACUUCCUUGAGUUGUUCAGGAUGCUGAGGUUUUUUGUUUGUUUGUUUGUUUUUUUCUUCCAGAACGCUAUGAAUCAUGCAUAAUCAUUUAGCCUGUAGUUUAAAGUUUGUCUUGUAGUGUAUACUGUCAUAUGCUUCUCAAGCUUAUUGGAUCACCUGAAUUUUGUCAUUUCAGUUACUGUUGGAUCUCUCAAGAUGCAGAAUUUGAUUAAUUUCAAGUCAUUUUGGUUUGUGCAUAGUAUGAAAGUGGUUAGGACAAUAAAGGUGUAUAUAUAUGCUCCAGAGUGCACAGUGUAGUUGUCCCCUACCAUGAUUCCUGCAUGUUGCUGCAGGUAUCCAUUCAUGACUGCUUUCCUUCCACAGUGUGAUGCUGCAGUGCAGGACCAGAGGUUAAAAGGACAGCUUGUGGUAAUAUAAUCUGGUAAAAGACUAACUAAAAGACUUUUCUAAAGAAUGAUUUAGAAUUGCUUUUCUGAUUAUUUGGAGUGAUUUUACAGUAUUUGUCUUAUUCUUAGGCUUGUUGAUUUGAAGUGAGUCUUCCACAGAGUAAAAUAUCCUUUAAGUAUCUGUCUUUAUCUAUGACAGCAAAAGAAACCAAGAAAGAAAAAAAAAAAUGGAAUGUCUAGAUAAAUUUCAAAUAAUAUAAGGUGAGGCCAUUCAUAAGUUUGAACGUCAAGUUUAACAGUAUUUCUUUUAUGAUUUUAAGUUAAUAGGAAAGAAAACUCAGUCUCAAUCACACACUGAAGCGAUGAGCUUUUCUGAGUGGGAAGCUCUUCCCAUUGGCAUAGGUAAAUAAUAAAUGUUUUUUGAAUAAAAAAUUCAGAGAGAAUGGUUAAAGUCUCCAGAGAAUAGAGAAUGAUGUAAGCUUGAAUGUGUUCUAUAUAAAUUCUCCAGUGGAACAUACAAUAACCUGCAUUAUCUUUAAUAGCUUUAAGUGAAUUCAACUUGGGGUUUCUGGGAUACUUAUGUCAGCAGCAUAGACCAAAGCAGCAGAUAAUGGAUCAAUACAAAAAUAGAAUAAGUAAUACUGAAUCAUUGUCAAACUUCUUACUGCCUUUAGAUCUCAUUUACUGUUUUUCUUUGGAACCUUGAUUGAGCAUCCACUGUAAUGGGGUGUGCAUCGGGGGGGAGGGGGGGCUAAAGAGUAGUGCAUAAGUGAAAGAAAAUGGGUUUCUUUGUUUCUUUUCCUUUUUCUUCCCUUCUCCUUCUAUUUUACUGUCAUUUCUUUAUUACUAUCGAAACGUUAGACAGUUUAAAGAAAGUUGAAAUGUUUUCAUGGAGUAUUCAUAGCAUAGCAACAACAUUUGUUUAGGGGUCUAAAAAUAUUUUUGAAAUGCAUACUUGGAAUUUUGUACUAAAAGUUGAAGAGCAAGAGAACAUAUGGUCAGGCAGUUUGUGAGUCUUCAGGCUGUUAACAGUGCUAAAAUUGCAUAUGGAAUUAAAUCGUCCACAGAAAAAAUCUCACUAAACAUUUAGAAUUUGCAAACAAUGAAUACUUGUAAGAGUCCUUGAUUCAGAGUAGAAUAAUAAAGCUGGAAACAGAUUGUUAAAUAAUUAUAAAAUUUUGAGGCCGACUUAUUUAUCAUGGUGAUGUAAAUCAAACAGUCAAUUUAGUUGCCCUCCCACUUUUUUGAAAAAUGGCAAAUCAUUAGGCGCUGACUAGUAGUUAUUCUACCACUACAGCUGAUGCAGUAGGAUUAUUUCAUAGCAUAUUUUCCACUUCCUUUCUGCUUUGAAUAUUUGAAGUGUCAGAGAAGGGAAAACAAAUGUACUGUGGCAGAGCUUAGGAAUUCUGGAUGCUGGCUCAGAUUCUGUGUGAUCUUGAACAAAUAAUCUAAAAUUCUUUGUCUGUGAAAUUGCACAAUCAUACAUUUCAGUGUAGAAUGAUGCUAUUUGCUGAUUUGGCUGCAUGGUAAUGAAGAAUUACACUGAUUUCUUUACAGAUGAAAGAUAUUUUACUAGAGUGCUGUGAUUCUGGAACAUUUCUUCAAGUUCAAAAACAUACUAAGAAAUUUAGGAGGGUUAUUUAAGUAGGAAAUAAGCUUUUACUUAUAUCUUUUUCUGAUGACCUUCAUUUGACACUGUUAAUUUUAUUAUUAGUUUAUUAUUUUUAUUAAUUUUAUUGUUAUUAUUACCACCAUCAAAUCAGUUACUACUAUGAACAGUCAUCAAAUUUAGGAGAGAAUUACCUCGCUGAAUGAUUGCAUCAAUGGGCCAAUAUCACAUUUUGGAAUCAAUGCUUCUAUUUAACUUAAGGUCUGGUCAGUGCUAGAAAGUGUUGUGAUCUUUCAUUAUUCUGCAUUAGGAGUGUUAAUAUGCUUUGAUUUGUUUCUGGGGAAGAUGGCUGAUAAAAGUAACUUUCAUUUAAACAGGUUAGUAAAUAUAUGAGAAAAUUCACUUUCAUUCUAAGGCCUGAAAUGAUUGUAGGCUGUGGUUUCCUUUUGGGGCGAUCUAGAACAAGAAGUGAAAUGGCGAAUUUGGGCAUUGCUAAUGAAUAUUAACACAGCUAGGAAACAGGAGGAAAGUGGUUUGUACUUAUGGCAACCAGAAGAUAUAAACAACUAUAAUGUUGCUCUGUAGUAACAAAUGGCAGUGUGUUAAAACAUCUACAGAUAUUUUGAAACAGUAAAGACUACCUAAAAACUGUUCAUCUUGUUCUUCAAUUAUGCAUUUAUUUCAAUAUCUCUGCUUAGACCAGUGGUUUCCUUUUGCUAACCCCACAAGAAGAUGCGAAGCCACACAAGCAGAAACUUUCAAUUCAUAAUGUCAUUCUUUUGCCUUUCUUCUUUCCUCCUUUUCAUGAUCUGUUCUCCCUUUUAAGUCAUUGCAUCAUCACUCCUAUCAGAUAGCUUAUUCCUUGCAACAACUCCUGAAAUGCAUGACUUUCAGCAGUUUUUUUUACAAAAGUCAACUUCUAUUUUUAAACUUUUUUUUCUUCCCCUUUUUCUUUAUUGUCAUUUUACUAUAGUGUGAAAUAGAGUAGAAAGAUGAAUAGCCAUUUAUAGGCACUCAUCAGAUAUGGCAAUUUAACUACUGUCUGAACAUCAGGAACAGUGGUAUUAAGGAAAAAACAAACAAACAACAACAACAGCAAAAGAAGAACAACAGCAAAAGCUGCACACACACACACACACACAAAAAACCCUAAGGAACAAACAACCCAAAACCCACAUGGUUCACUUUACUCUGGAGAGAUUUCUAAACAAGUUCUUUGCAAAGCAGUGGUCAUAACUUGAAGGAACACUUUGAUUAGACCAAAGUAGAGUACCCAUUAGGAAUUCCAUCUUAUCUUCUGUUUUUAUGAAUGAUUAUACAGUGCAACUGUGAUGUGACACAACUUUUUUCCUCUUAUCAAAGAGAAUCUAGGGGAACCAAGUCAGGCACUUCCUUUUCUUUUGUAGUAUAUUUUAAACUUGUCAAUUUUUUUUUGUUUUUAAAUUAUUAAGGGAUAUAUUUGAUUACAUUUAGUGAACUAAAUAAUCAACUUGAGAAACAGCAAAACAAACACUACAUGGAGCAUACACCAGGCAUAUGUGUACUAUAGGAAAGUCCCUCUAGUUUUUAGUAAUAGAAUAUGGAAAGACAGGUUAGAACCUAGCUGGAAAAAAUACAACUUGAAAGAAAAAUUUAAGAAUACUUCAGAAAUCAAACAGUCUUUUCCAUGUAUGAUGAUCUGAUUGACAGUUAAUAUUAGACCAAUGAAGGCACGAAAAUCAUAACCACAGUUUCACUGCUAUAUUGAUCUUGAAGGUCUUUUCCAAACUUACCAAUGCUGUGAUUCUAUGAUUCACAAUGACUCCACUGCACAGAAAAGUAAUCAAGGUGCAUAUGCAGUACUGUAAAAAUGUGUUAAAAUAAGAUAAUGGAUGCUCAAUUAGUACAUGUACUCAAAAUUUAUGGAAAAGGAAAGAACAAGUUUUGAGAGGAGGUACUCAAAAUUCUUUCUCCCAUUUGUUGUCAUGAUCAUUUUACAUGAAAUAUUGCAUUGGAAUAUAUGCUGCAGAUUUUAUAAAUCUGGGAAUAUUUUUGAUGUUACAGAUUAGUAGCGUGGCCUUUGACAGGAUAUGGAGAUUAUUGAGAAACUGAUCUCUUUCUCUAUCUGCUGUGCAUAACUAGAGAGCUACAGAACAUCAAAGCUAUCUGUAAUCGCAACUCCACCUGGAAGCUGGAUCUGUUGAAAGAAAGAGAAAGAACAAUAUGGUGAAGCACUGAGAAGAAAUGAAGACAUUCAACCUGUAAAUAGCAGAGUCCUUUCUUCCUCAUUUGUCAGGAAGGGAAUAAUCAGCAUAAAUUACACUCCUGGACUUAGUAUUUAUUUCCUUUUUAUUUUUUAUAUAAUUCACAUGCAAUGUGCAAUACAGAAAAGGAGGAAAUUAAAACAUGAGCACAUAUUGUAGCUUAAAUGUCUCCAGAAUAAACUUAGGUUUUGUUAACAAAAAACACCUUGGAAACAAAAUUGUCAUGUGGUACAUAAAUAGAGAAUUUGGGGAUUCAUUUAAAAAAAAAAAAAUUAAAAAUUUUUAAAUUCUGCAGGACUAUUCUGAAAUGAACAGUUAAUGGAGAUGCAGCUAAUGACUCCUGUCAUCACCUCACUUGGAGCACAUGCUACAUAAAAUAUAUUGUGCUAACAAAACUAUGAUAAAUGUCAAAGAAAAAUUAUCAUCUUUUUCAGAAGAAGAUAAUAGUAUGAGGAACCAGUUAACAAAAUGCAUUCCAUUUUCAAAUACUGGAGACAGGAUGUGGCCUAGAAGACAAAUAGUAUCUUAAAGAAAUAACAGGCAAAUAAGACUGAUUUUUGAAGAACCUCGAAUACAGUGUCAAAUGAAAACAACAUAAUACAAUAUUUUUAAUCUUUGCCAGCAUGGUAAAUUAUGAACCCCGCUGUCAUUGUUCCAAAGAUAAGGGGGAUACAUCAAAAAGAGUUUUACACUGAAUGGUAAGCAUGGUUUAACUUAAAACUUUAUGGCUUUCUGCAGCCUGUACACUGAACUUGUGGAAUAGAUCCAUUCACAUUACUAAAGGUAAACAGAAUGUACUUAAUUCUGGAACUGACAGGGAGUUGAAGCAUGCUGGGUAGUUUCUGGACUGGCCACUCACGGUUGGAUUAGGUGAGAGUUUGUAAUCAGAGUGUACCAGCAAAGUAUAAACAUUGCAGAGGUAGCAUCUGCCUCUAUUUUAGUGUUGACUCAUAUUCUCUUAAUGUUAAGCUUCAAUUCCAAUUGCUUACCUUAGCUGUGUAUUAGAUUUAUCUGGAAAUCAAGAGAAAAUAAAUGGCCAAUAGUUCAAACAAGAUGGCCAGAAAAAGAACCCAAAUCAUUAUUUCAUCAAAGGAACACAUUUUCGUGUAUCUGGAAUGGGGCCCAGUUGAAAGCAAACAGCAGCUGGGUAAUUCUGCCACAAAUAACUCACUAGCACCUGGGAUCUACCAAACAUUUGUAAAACUUAUAGUAAGAAGAGACAGUUAAAAGAGAAAGGUGAGCAGAAAAGAUAUGCUGGAACGGACACUGAAAUAAUUUGUGAGGAUAUUCCAACUUAAUACAAAUGACAGUGAAAGCAAUUUCUGAUUAGCUAAAUGAUCCAUGCUCUUUUUUCUGGGUUGUAGCUUCUAGACAUCUGCGUGGUGGAACUAAAUGCAUGGAUAGUUCUGCUAGUGGCCAGCAGUAGUAGAAGGCAAGUCACAGGUCAAAAACUUACACCUGAUUUCCAAAUGAAAGUCAAGAGCCAAAUUCAGGAAAGGAAAAGACAUGGCAGUUAUUCAGUUAUUAGGAACACAAGCCAGGAAUAAAGAGCUGGGCAGAGGAAAUAAACAAGAGAAAAAAUCAAAGUUAAAUGAUGUGAAAAAGAGACAAGCAUAGAAGUACCAAAAAAAAUAAAAAUAAAAAAAAUGGAAAGAAAAAAUGAGAAAACAGAAAAAAAAAGGGAAAGGAGAAGAAAAAGGAGAAACAAUAGAAGAGAAAAAAAAAAAAGGAAAAGAGAAAAUGGAAAGAGAAAAAAAAAGAAAAAUGUAAAUAUGAAAAAAAGGAAAGAAAAUCUUCAGAGCUUCAUACUUUCUGGGUGGGGUCAUUACUGAGAAGAAUCAGACAGGGCUGGCUGCUAGUGGUCAAGACAAGAGUUAUAUAACUAGAUUGGUUAACAGUCAAAAUGGAAAUAUUUAUCUAGAUGUAGUGCUGAGGUGCUGCACAAAAAAACACCUUCUGAUUGCUGUGUGUCCACUGAAAAUAAGUAGUUACCAUGUCUUUGUGUGUUGAUGUUUGUUAAAAAUAAAUAAAACAUACAAACAAAAAACCCUACUAACUUCCAAAUCAAUAGCUAUUUGUCUUACCUAUGACUUGAAUUACAGUGAUGUUAUUGGGCAUGACAUUAAGUUGGUGUCUUAUCAUGAAAAAUUAACAAAAUCAUCACUGCCUCAGUCAAAAUAUGCAGGUGAAAUCAGGUUAAAAAAAAAAAAAAAAAGGAAAAAAAGUCACUACUCUCCAGAACUAAAUCAUUACAUCCAGAACUAAAGUGCACAUUAACUUCCACAGAGGACAGCAGGCAUGGAAUGAAGGUGAGAUAUACUGUGUGAUCACACACAUGUGACCAUGUGUAGAAGAAAGUCCACUAUCAAGUAGCCAUUUUUGAGGCUGUUUUUUUUUUUUUUUUUUUUUUUUUUUUUCCCAAUCAUUGGAAUACUUGCGAUGCAUUUGAUAAAAGAAAGUCAUGAUCACAAAAGGUAUCUUCUCUGGUUGACUGGGGGAACACAAUAAAGCAUGCUAAGGUCAAUCUCCCUUUUAUGACUUAUCGUGUAAUAUAUCUGUUUACCGCGUCUCUAAAAAGAUGGAGUGGAAAGGAACAUGAAAAAACUGCAGUCUUGUAUGUCAAGGACUUGUCAAAGGAUACAUAUGUGUAACCUGUAGGGACUUGUUCAGAACACUUACACAGCCCAGGCUCUGUGGUGAGGAAGGGGCUGUGAUUAGUGGACCUUAUCGAAGGCUGAAGCCAGUUUAUGUAACCCCAAGUCUCCAACAAAGCACUCCUAGAGACAAAGUCAAAUAAAGGUCAGGCACUGUAUGGAGUUGCGCCACUGGAGGCCCUCAAGAGUCACAGGAUCACAGAAUCACAGUUGCAGAGGUUGGAAGGGGCCUCUAGAGAUCAUUGAGUCCAACCGCCCUGCUAAAGUGGGUGCCCAACAGCAGGUCACACAGGUAGGUGUCCAGAGGGGUCUUGAAUAUCUCCAGAGUAGGAGACUGCAACCUCUCUCGGCAACCUGCCCCAGGGCUCCAUAACCCUUACUGUGAAGAAGUUCUUCCGCAUGUUAGUACGGAAAUUCCUAUGUUCAAGUUCUAAGCCAUUACUCCUUGUCUUAUCACUAGACACCACCAAGAAGAUCCUCCACUCAGUGGAGUGUCUCAUCCACUUGCUUCCCAUCUCCCUUUAGAUAUUUAUAAAUAUUUAAAAGAUUUUCUCUCAGUCUCCUUUCCCUAGGCUGAACAGACUUAUGUUUCUUUCCUCAUAAAAAAUAUACUCCGGGCCCUUUAUCAUCUUUGUGGCUCUCCAUUGUACUCCUUCUAGGAGUUCCCUGUCUUUUUGAAUUUGGGAACCCAGAGUUGGACACAGUAUUCUAAAUGUAGACUCACCAGGGCAGAGUAGACGAGGAGGAUCACAUCUUUUGACCUACUGACCACACUCUUUUUAAUGCACCCCAGGAUGCCCUUGGCCUUUUUGGUGACAAGGGCACACUACCUGCUAACCUGUUGUCCACCAGGACCCCUAGGUCCUUCUCUGCAAAGCUCUUCUCCAGUAUUUCAUCUCCUAGCUUGUACUGAUGCAUCUGGUUAUUUCUCCCCAAGUGCAAGACUCUACACUUGCUCUUGUUAAAUCUCAUCAGGUUCCACUGUGCCCAACUCUCCACUCUGUCCAAGUCUUGUUGAAUGGUAGCACUGCCUUCUGGUGUGUCAGCCACUUCUCCCAGCUCCAUAUCAGAAAACUUGCUGAGGGUGGACUCUAUCCCUUCAUCCAAGUUGUUGAUGAAGAUAUGAAACAAGAUCAAACCCAACACCGACCACUGGGGAAUACCACUAGGUACAGACCUCCAACCAUAUUCUCUUGCUGAUGAAAACCUUCUAACCUCUGCCAGUCAGCAAGUUCUCAGUCCACCUCACCAAUCACUCAUCUAUGCUCCACUUUCAAAGUUUCAUAGCAAGGGUGUUAUGUGAAUCACCGUCAAACACCUUGCUGAAGGCAAGGUACACAACAUCUACUGCUCUCCCCACAUCUACUCAGCCAGUGAUGACAUCAUAGAAGUUAACCAGGUUGGCCAAGCAUGAUUUCCUCUUGGUUCAUCCGUGUCGACUACUCCUGAUAAACUUUCUCUCUUCCAAUUUCUUGGUGAGGGUAUCCAGAACAAGUUGUCCCAUUACUUUUCCAAGAAUGGAAGUGAGACUGAUGAUGAAUACCCUCAACCCAUUUCUUGAAAAUUCUUGGACCUAAGUAGCACCUGUGAAUAAUGGCACCACCCCUUAAGAACCCGGAGAUGCUGGCUCUAUAAAAGCACAUGUUCAGAGAGGCUCCAGGUUGACUCUCCACUGUCAGACCAAGGAACUGCUGGAUCCUUGGGCAGUGAGAAUAUAUAUGUAUACAUAUAUGUAUACACACACCUUUUUCUUUUGUUUUCCUCUCUCUUUAUCUUUCUGUACUUUAUCUGAGGAUAGCUGGUACUAAUUAGAUUUAUCAAAUCUUGCUGUUAGGUUUGACUUUUGCUGUUACCAAAUUUGCCUUGCUUUGCUGUUUUAUGUGGAUUUUUUUUUUUUUUUUGCAGUUUUGUUGUUGUUUGUUUGUUUGUUUGUUUUGCUGUUUCAUAUGUUUUUUUACUGUUGUCAGCUCUGUCCAACUUGUGGUUUUAUGCAGCUCUUCCUGUUGUAGAAUAUUGAGGCUAGUAUACUGAAUAAAUUGCUUGAUUGUUUAAUUUUGUUAUUUUCCCUGGAUCGUUACAGUGGCUGAGUCAUGGUGACCCUGCUGCUGUACAGCCCUGCAGACUAGGGAAAUCCCUCACUCAGAGCAAAUAAAAAAGACUCACCUCUCUUGCAACCCACCAAGUGGGAUGAGACAGUUCAUCACACACAGAACUCACACAAAUUAAAAUCCUGUGCUCCAUUUUAGAAAGGAGAAAAAUGAAAAGCUAACACAAUCAGGAAAAAUAAAAUGAUUUUGUCUAUUGUAAAUUAGUCUACAGAAAGGAGUAACUUGUUUGUUUGUUUUCCUUUAAUUUACAUUAUACCAUGGCUUCGGCUCACUGAUCUAAUCCAAGCUCCCUAAAGGACAGAUCAACCACAUGAAUCUUUGUAUACUGUGUUUUGCAAGUCAACACUGGUUGACUGCAACAAUCUGCAGUGCACCAGAUAUGCUCUGUUAAAUGCUUCUUGCCAUUUUACGAGUUCCUGCAGAGCAGCUCCUAAGAUUAUUCAAUAUACAGCAGGCGUAGUGCCCUUAUUGUGCUUUAUUUUAUUAUGAAAUAUUAAAACAGUAUUUUAUCAGGAUCUAAUAAAAUAUACAACUUUCAAUUUGAAAAUCUCAAAACUCUGUUAAAAGAUUUACAGAAGUGUUAGCUUACCAGCUGUCAAUCUAAUCCCUUGCUAAUAAAUUAGCUUCAUACAUUUUAUGGCAGAGCUUUUCUGUCUCAGGGAUUAUAGGCACUGUUAGAACAAUGUAAAUAUAACUGUGAGCAACUGUCUCCCGUGAUGGCAAUUCAGUAGGAAUAAACUAAUAUAUUUUUUAAAAAACAAAUUAUUAUAAAUGUAUGAGUAGAAGAGAAAACAGAUAAUUAAAAAAUCUAUUCAGUAGCUAGAGUAUUCAAGGAAAGCUGAGCUACAACUACACAAUGUUCUUCCAGAAGAUCUACGUUAGACAAUCUGUCUUCAGUUAUCAGUGGUAGAAGUCUCAUCUAGCUUUAGCUGUUUAAAAGAUGAGAAUCCUUUUGUCCUUGCUUCCUCUCUAGUCAAGGAAAAGAAAGAGAAGAAAGUGCUUCCAACCUGGAAAGUCAUCCUGUCUAUCUGGCAUAGUCAUUUUAAAAUGAUAUGGUUUAUUUCUUGAGCACCUCUUUCUCCAUUCAUUGUAGUAGUAGUUGAAAACACUACCUCAGAGUAGAUGACUAACUUUUAGAUGCUCUUUGUUAGGUAAGCUAGCUCUUGUCACCUACAGCUGUGAGCCAAAAAUAUAAUGUAGAUUUCUAUAUCAGAAUAUAAGAUAUUCGUAAAAAUCUAAGUGCUGAAUGACCAUAGCUUGACUGUGGCCAGUGCUAUGACAGUCUAGGAUCACAAGAAUAUAAGAGAGAUCCCACGGAACUAGAACUUCAUUAAUGCUCACUGGCUCUUUGGUACUCACAGCUAGUACCAAAAGCCUUGUAGCAUGGCAAAGGAGCUUUUCAAAAGGUGAAUUUUAUUCCAUGAUUUUCUGACGCCAAGCAGUAGUCUUGGCUUCCAGUUCUUUAUCCAGGAGAUCUCAUAUUCAUCCUCGUAUUGUUUCUUCUAAAACAAUAGAACAGGAUCUUUCUGCUCAGAUAUCUCCUAGCCCUACAAUGGCAGUGAACUAUGAUUUUGCUACCCACCACUAAUGCAGUUUCCAGAAAUCCAAAAACAUUCACAAAUUCAUGACUUGUUAAAAAAAAUAAAUGCUAACUUCAAAAUGUGGAGUGUCUUUGUCGUAAAAAUAUGGUCAAAACUAGGAGUCUGACUCCUUGGACUAUUGUGAUAUUUUUUUAGUAUUUGUUUUAUGUAUGUUGCACUGAAAUGAGCCAGACAAGUGAAAUUCCCCAUCUUGUCUUUACCUUCAAGUAGAACUUCUCCUUCACAAGUAGUUUCCCAGUAUGACUCUUCUCAAGAUGAACUUAGGUGUUUCGGCCAAAUGCGUCUCCAUCUGCCUGAGCUCUGACACAAAGUGGUGUCCUGUCAUGCUGAAUUGCAUAUGGUAUUCCCUAGCAACGGCUGAUGGCUCAUGAGGGAGAACUGUGGAAAACCCUUAAUCCCUAAAUGAUGAUGAUGAUAACAACUCUCACACACAUGUAAAACAAACAAACAAACAAAAGAAACAGAGCACCUUGUCAUUUUCUCAGCUCUGAAAAGCCCUGGCCAUGAAAAGAGCAUUAUUCAUGAAACAUCUAAUGCUAAGCAGAAGGCAAACAACAUUUUUCACCCCUGCAGUUCUGAAUUUAGAGAGCUUAGUUUUACUCUGUUCUGCUUUAAUGCUAAAUCCUCCUUUGGAUCUAACUUAAAUUUUAUUUAUAAUUACUAGAACUAUCAGAAAAUAAGGCCGAAGUCAAAGCAUUGGUUCAGCAACAGACAUAUUUACAGCUCACACUGACCUUUUAUGUAUGCAAGUUAAAAAUAUUCAAGGUAGAAUCUAAGUUAUCAUAGUAAAGUAUAAAAUGGCACUCACGAGACUUGACCUCACUGCAACUCUCAAG
ensembl:lncRNA